rnacentral:rRNA from 1 species
GAUGAACGCUGGCGGCGUGCCUAAUACAUGCAAGUCGAGCGAACAGACGAGGAGCUUGCUCCUCUGACGUUAGCGGCGGACGGGUGAGUAACACGUGGAUAACCUACCUAUAAGACUGGGAUAACUUCGGGAAACCGGAGCUAAUACCGGAUAAUAUAUUGAACCGCAUGGUUCAAUAGUGAAAGACGGUUUUGCUGUCACUUAUAGAUGGAUCCGCGCCGCAUUAGCUAGUUGGUAAGGUAACGGCUUACCAAGGCAACGAUGCGUAGCCGACCUGAGAGGGUGAUCGGCCACACUGGAACUGAGACACGGUCCAGACUCCUACGGGAGGCAGCAGUAGGGAAUCUUCCGCAAUGGGCGAAAGCCUGACGGAGCAACGCCGCGUGAGUGAUGAAGGUCUUCGGACCGUAAAACUCUGUUAUUAGGGAAGAACAAAUGUGUAAGUAACUAUGCACGUCUUGACGGUACCUAAUCAGAAAGCAACGGCUAACUACGUG